CUAUUAAUUUUACACUCGAAAAAUCUAUGCAUGACUACACACUAGACAAAUGCAGCCAACGUGAAUACAUCUACAUUUUCAAUGGUGAGCCCACAUCUACUGCAUCUCAACACAGCUGAGACAGUUCUGCAGCUUUAUUCUGAUGAAGCAGCUGACCACCUUCACCUGUCUCUGCUGUCCAUCACGACCCUCACUGCUGCAGUCAGACUGAAUCUGAUCAUGGAUGAGAAAGGGGCAUCGAGGCUAUUGUCUGAGUGCACAGAGAGGAUGAGGAAGACCAUGAUGAUGCUCCUGAUCCACACAACCCUGAAUAAAAGCAGGAGAACAUGUGCGGGACAAUC